rnacentral:rRNA from 1 species
CCUACGGGGGGCAGCAGUGAGGAAUAUUGGUCAAUGGACGAGAGUCUGAACCAGCCAAGUAGCGUGAAGGAUGACUGCCCUAUGGGUUGUAAACUUCUUUUAUAUGGGAAUAAAACGUUCCACGUGUGGGAUUUUGUAUGUACCAUAUGAAUAAGGAUCGGCUAACUCCGUGCCAGCAGCCGCGGUAAUACGGAGGAUCCGAGCGUUAUCCGGAUUUAUUGGGUUUAAAGGGAGCGUAGGUGGAUUGUUAAGUCAGUUGUGAAAGUUUGCGGCUCAACCGUAAAAUUGCAGUUGAAACUGGCAGUCUUGAGUACAGUAGAGGUGGGCGGAAUUCGUGGUGUAGCGGUGAAAUGCUUAGAUAUCACGAAGAACUCCGAUUGCGAAGGCAGUUCACUGGACUGCAACUGACACUGAGGCUCGAAAGUGUGGGUAUCAAACAGGAUUAGAUACCCGUGUAUC